rnacentral:rRNA from 1 species
UACGUAGGCAGCAAGCGUUGUUCGGAGUUACUGGGCGUAAAGGGUGCGUAGGUGGCUCUAUAAGUAUGGUGUGAAAUCUCCCGGCUUAACUGGGAGGGUGCGCCGUAGACUGUGGGGCUAGAGUGUGGGAGAGGAAAGUGGAAUUCCUGGUGUAGCGGUGAAAUGCGUAGAUAUCGGGAGGAACACCUGUGGCGAAAGCGGCGCACUGGACCACAUCUGACGCUGGAGGCGCG